AUCGCUUCUCGGCCUUUUGGCUAAGAUCAAGUGUAGUAUCUGUUCUUAUCAGUUUAAUAUCAGCCCCUGGCCACAGUGACAUGACUCAGUCAUUCUAGUCCAAAAAAAA
ensembl:snRNA U2 U2 spliceosomal RNA